UGAGGAAUAUUGCGCAAUGGGGGAAACCCUGACGCAGCGACGCCGCGUGGAUGAUGAAGGCCUUCGGGUCGUAAAAUCCUGUCAGAUGGGAAGAAGUGUAUAUUACCUAAUACGUGAUAUAUUUGACGGUACCAUCAAAGGAAGCACCGGCUAACUCCGUGCCAGCAGCCGCGGUAAUACGGAGGGUGCAAGCGUUGUUCGGAAUUACUGGGCGUAAAGCGCGCGUAGGCGGCUUGUUAAGUCAGAUGUGAAAGUCCACGGCUCAACCGUGGAAGUGCAUAUGAAACUGGCAGGCUUGAGUAUUGGAGGGGGUAGUGGAAUUCCCGGUGUAGAGGUGAAAUUCGUAGAUAUCGGGAGGAAUACCGGUGGCGAAGGCGACUACCUGGCCAAAUACUGACGCUAGGUGCGAAAGCGGAAAGCAAACAGGAUUAAUACCCUGGUAUCCACGCCGUAAACGAUGUAAACU
rnacentral:rRNA from 1 species